UUUAAUCCUUGUGUGUUUUCCAGAAGUUUUAAAUAUUUAAAUUUUUCGCGCGCCUGGAUGGAAAAAAGAUUAUGUCAUCUUAGCCAAUCAGAAAACUACUAAUAUGAAUCUAUGGCAUAUGGCGUCAGUCUGGUAUCGAAACUCAAUCGUAAUAGUACGCGUCAGUUCGUAUCAAAUAUAAACGAUAUUUGUGUUACAAUUAUUAAAUUUUGGUUAAUUAAUACACAGAUUUUGGUUAUUUAUUCACAAGAUAUUAUUAUUAAACAAUUUUUUUGAAGUUUUUUUACUUCUUUGUUGAUCAAUUAUUUGAGUGUUAAAUUUGCCGGUAUACAUCUGGGACAGGAAUUGAUGUUUACACUCGUUCCAUGCCCGAUGUGUUUCAAUGUGCCUCGAUCUGUUGCUAAACUCUCGAAUAUAUCCCCUCUCCAAUUUGUAUUUAUACGACGACAUCACAAUGCGAAAAAAUUGUAAUCGCUAGAAUUGUCAAAAAGCCUCGCAUCGACAAAGUCGAGGUGGCGGACGCCCGGUCCUCGAGGAUCGGAGGCGUCGUCCUCGCCGCGGAUUGCCGCCCGCUUCGACCGCCGCUCGACGACGCGGCGCACGGCUCGUCCGACCAACCCGCCUGUCCUCG